ncrna:unclassified sequences PGK RNA
AACUAAUCUUAUUUGCUCUUAGGUGUUACAAUUGUAAGUGAGAAAGAAAACUCACAGAAAUAAGAUAUCACAUUAAAUACUGAUAAUAUUUAA